GGUUUUAUGGUGCAGUUGGGUAUCACGUGAGUCACACAAUGAAGGUCUUUAGUCCGAGCCUGGUUAAAACUG